rnacentral:rRNA from 1 species
GACGAACGCUGGCGGCGUGCUUAACACAUGCAAGUCGAACGGAGAUUCAGCAAUGGAUCUUAGUGGCGAACGGGUGAGUAACGCGUAGGCAAUCUGCCUUCUAGAUGGGGACAACAUCCCGAAAGGGGUGCUAAUACCGAAUGUUGUACCGUUUCCGCAUGGAGAUGAUACUAAAGGUGGCCUCUGAAUAUGCUACCGCUAGAAGAUGAGCCUGCGUCUGAUUAGCUAGUUGGAGGGGUAACGGCCCACCAAGGAAACGAUCAGUAGCCGGUCUGAGAGGAUGAACGGCCACACUGGGACUGAGACACGGCCCAGCCUCCUACGGGAGGCAGCAGUGGGAAUCUUCCGCAAUGGGCGCAAGCCUGACGGGGCAACGCCGCGUGAGUGAUGAAGGCCUUCGGGUUGUAAAACUCUGUCUUCUGUGAAGAACAAGCCUAUGAAGAGAACGCUUAGGCCCUGACGGUAACAGAGGAGGAAGCCCCGGCUAACUACGUGCCAGCAGCCGCCGUAA